CCUACGGGAGGCAGCAGUGGGGAAUAUUGCACAAUGGGCGGAAGCCUGAUGCAGCAACGCCGCGUGCGGGAUGACGGCCUUCGGGUUGUAAACCGCUUUCGCCUGUGACGAAGCGUGAGUGACGGUAAUGGGUAAAGAAGCACCGGCUAACUACGUGCCAGCAGCCGCGGUGAUACGUAGGGUGCGAGCGUUGUCCGGAUUUAUUGGGCGUAAAGGGCUCGUAGGUGGUUGAUCGCGUCGGAAGUGUAAUCUUGGGGCUUAACCCUGAGCGUGCUUUCGAUACGGGUUGACUUGAGGAAGGUAGGGGAGAAUGGAAUUCCUGGUGGAGCGGUGGAAUGCGCAGAUAUCAGGAGGAACACCAGUGGCGAAGGCGGUUCUCUGGGCCUUUCCUGACGCUGAGGAGCGAAAGCGUGGGGAGCGAACAGGCUUAGAUACCCUGGUAGUCCACGCUGUAAACGGUGGGUACUAGGUGUGGGGUCCAUUCCACGGGUUCCGUGCCGUAGCUAACGCUUUAAGUACCCCGCCUGGGGAGUACGGCCGCAAGGCUAAAACUCAAAUGAAUUGACGGGG
rnacentral:rRNA from 1 species